rnacentral:rRNA from 1 species
UCUACCUACGGGGGGCAGCAGUGAGGAAUAUUGGUCAAUGGUCGGGAGACUGAACCAGCCAAGCCGCGUGAGGGAUGAAGGGACAGAGUAUCGUAAACCUCUUUUGUCAGGGAACAAAGGCGGGGACGCGUCCCCGGAUGAGUGUACCUGAAGAAAAAGCAUCGGCUAAAUCCGUGCCAGCAGACGCGGUAAUACGGAGGAUGCGAGCGUUAUCCGGAUUUAUUGGGUUUAAAGGGUGCGCAGGCGGUCUGUUAAGUCAGCGGUCAAAGCCCGUGGCUCAACCCCGGCCCGCGGU